CAGCCGCCGCGGUAAUACGUAGGUGGCAAGCGUUGUCCGGAAUUAUUGGGCGUAAAGCGCGCGCAGGCGGAUCGGUCAGUCUGUCUUAAAGGUUCGGGGCUUAACCCCGUGAUGGGAUGGAAACUGCCAAUCUAGAGUAUCGGAGAGGAAAGUGGAAUUCCUAGUGUAGCGGUGAAAUGCGUAGAUAUUAGGAAGAACACCAGUGGCGAAGGCGACUUUCUGGACGAAAACUGACGCUGAGGCGCGAAAGCCAGGGGAGCGAACGGGAUUAGAGACCCGUGUAGUCCCUGUCUCUUAUACA
rnacentral:rRNA from 1 species